CUGAAACUAAAAUAUGUUUUUAAUAUAUGUAACACUUUUAGUACCUAUAGAUAUUGUUGUGCAUUACUACAACAUGUAUACGUAUCGUAAUCGUUUAUUUUGACAGGAUAUUUUGGCACUACUUUGAGUUUUUUGAAAAAUUAUAAAGAAAAAAAGAAGGUAACUUUGGUAACAAAAUUGUUUUAUUUCCACAGAUCCAAUGAAUGGUAAUUUGUUAUUCUGCAGAUAGGAGCUAUUUGUGAUAAACCGUUCAAAUAAAAUAAAAUAAUGUUACAACUUAA
rnacentral:lncRNA from 1 species